GGGCGUAAAGAGCUCGUAGGUGGUCGAUCACGUCGGAUGUGAAAAUCUGAGGCUUAACCUCAGACCUGCAUUCGAUACGGGUUGACUAGAGUGUGGUAGGGGAGACUGGAAUUCCUGGUGUAGCGGUGGAAUGCGCAGAUAUCAGGAGGAACACCGAUGGCGAAGGCAGGUCUCUGGGCCAUUACUGACACUGAGGAGCGAAAGCGUGGGGAGCGAACAGGAUUAGAUACCCUGGUAGUCCACGCCGUAAACGGUGGGCGCUAGUUGUGGGAACCUUCCACGGUUUCUGCGACGCAGCUAACGCAUUAAGCGCCCCGCCUGGGGAGUACGGUCGCAAGACUAAAACUCAAAGAAAUUGACGGGGCCCCGCACAAGCAGCGGAGCAUGCGGCUUAAUUCGACGCAACGCGAAGAACCUUACCAAGGCUUGACAUAUACAGGAAUACGGCAGAGAUGUCGUAGCCGCAAGGUCUGUAUACAGGUGGUGCAUGGUUGUCGUCAGCUCGUGUCGUGAGAUGUUGGGUUAAGUCCCGCAACGAGCGCAACCCUCGUCCUGUGUUACCAGCAUUUAGUUGGGGACUCACAGGAGACUGCCGGGGUCAACUCGGAGGAAGGUAAU
rnacentral:rRNA from 1 species